rnacentral:tRNA from 3 species
GCGUCGUUAUCCCGUAGAUGGAAGCGGUGGUGACUGUAAAUCACUUGUCAUUAUGACUCGGGAGGUUCGACUCCUUCACGGCGCACCA